ensembl:snRNA U6 U6 spliceosomal RNA
UUGCAUACUUUGGCAGCAAAUAUGCUAAAAUUGGAAUGAUACAGAGAAGAUUAGCAUGGCCCACAAUAAAGGAUGACAUGCAAAUUCAUGUAGAGUUCCAUAUUUUU